rnacentral:rRNA from 1 species
AGUGGAUGGGGAGCAACCUAGUUGUGCGUGUGUAAAGGUAGUGCCAAGAAAAGCGGUGAUCAUGAUGAAAAUCAAUUCCCGGUACCCGAAACCGACACAGGUGGGCAAGUAGAGAAUACUAAGGGGCGCGAGGUAACUCUCUCCAAGGAACUCGGCAAAAUGACCCCGUAACUUAGGGAGAAGGGGUGCCACCGAGAGGUGGUCGCAGUGAAGAGGCCCAGGCGACUGUUUAGCAAAAACAUAGGUCUCUGCAAACUCGAAAGAGGAGGUAUAGGGGCUGACGCCUGCCCAGUGCCGGAAGGUUAAAGAAGUUGGUCAGUCUUAGGAUGAAGCUAGCGACUGAAGCCCCGGUGAACGGCGGCCGUAACUAUAACGGUCCUAAGGUAGCGAAAUUCCUUGUCGGGUAAGUUCCGACCCGCACGAAAGGCGUAACGAUCUGGGCGCUGUCUCGGAGAGAGGCUCGGCGAAAUAGGAUUGUCUGUGAAGAUACGGACUACCUGCAUUUGGACAGAAAGACCCUAUGAAGCUUUACUAUAGCUUGGAAUUGUGUUCGGGCUUCCUGUGCGCAGGAUAGGUGGGAGGCGUAGAAGGUAUUCUUGUGGGGAUACUGGAGCCAACGGUGAGAUACCACUCUCAGGAGGCUAGAAUUCUAACUUAAUUAAGGACAGUUUCAGGUGGGUAGUUUGACUGGGGCGGUCGCCUCCAAAAAGGUAACGGAGGCGUACAAAGGUUCCCUCAGACUGGUUGGAAAUCAGUCGAAGAGUGCAAAGGCAGAAGGGAGCUUGACUGCGAGAAGUACAGUUCGAGCAGGGUGGAAACACGGUCUUAGUGAUCCGACGGUGCUGUGUGGAAGGGCCGUCGCUCAACGGAUAAAAGUUGCUCUAGGAUAACAGGCUGAUCUCCCCCAAGAGUUCACAUCGACGGGGAGGUUUGGCACCUCGAUGUCGGCUCAUCGCAACCUGGGGCGGAAGUACGUCCCAAGGGUUGGGCUGUUCGCCCAUUAAAGCGGUACGUGAGCUGGGUUCAGAACGUCGUGAGACAGUUCGGUCCAUAUCCGAUGUAGGCGUGAGAAUAUUGAGAGGAGCCUUCCUUAGUACGAGAGGACCGGGAAGGACGCACCGCUGGUGUACCUGUUAUGAUGCCAAUUGUAAACGCAGGGUAGCCAAGUGCGGAGAGGAUAACCGCUGAAAGCAUCUAAGUGGGAAGCCCACCUCAAGAUGAGUAUUCUGGUGUAAGGUCACGGGAAGACGACCCGUAAAUAGGCACGAGGUGGAAGUGCAGAGAUGUAUGAAGCCGAAGUGUACUAAUAGACCGUCGGCCUGAC